rnacentral:rRNA from 1 species
UACGUAGGGGGCAAGCGUUUGUCCGGAUUUAUUGGGCGUAAAGAGCGUGUAGGCGGCCAUGUAGGUCCGUUGUGAAAACUCGAGGCUCAACCUCGAGACGCCGAUGGAAACCAUGUGGCUAGAGUCCGGAAGAGGAGAGUGGAAUUCCUGGUGUAGCGGUGAAAUGCGCAGAUAUCAGGAAGAACACCCGUGGCUAAGGCGGCUCUCUAGUACGGUACUGACGCUGAGACGCGAAAGCGUGGGGAGCGAACAGG